rnacentral:rRNA from 1 species
GGAGGAUCAUUAUCGUAGGGCUUCGGCCCUGUCGAGAUAGAACCCUUGCCUUUUUGAGUACCUUUCGUUUCCUCGGCAGGCUCGCCUGCCAAUGGGGACCACAAAAAACACUUUGCAGUACCUGUAACAGUCUGAACAAACAAAACAAAAAUUAAAACUUUCAACAACGGAUCUCUUGGUUCUGGCAUCGAUGAAGAACGCAGCGAAAUGCGAUAAGUAGUGUGAAUUGCAGAAUUCAGUGAAUCAUCGAAUCUUUGAACGCACAUUGCGCCCUUUGGUAUUCCUUAGGGCAUGCCUGUUCGAGCGUCAUUUAAACCUUCAAGCUAAGCUUGGUGUUGGGUGACUGUCCGCUUCACUGCGGACUCGCCUCAAAAUUAUUGGCGGCCGGUACAUUGGCUUCGAGCGCAGCAGAAACGCGAACUCGGGCCCGUCGUAUUGGCUCCCAGAAGCUAUCUUCACAAUAUUGACCUCGGAUCAGGUAGGGAUACCCGCUGAACUUAAGCAUAUCAAUAAGCGGAGGA